rnacentral:lncRNA from 1 species
GUUAAAGUAUAAAAGUAAAUGGUUUCCAAAAAAUAAUUAUCCUGAUUUAAAGGUAAGUAUUGUUUUAAAGCUAUAACUAAGACAUUAAUACAAAUCUGAAGAUAAAUUAACUCCACAUGAAAUGUACUUGUAUCUUUAUUGCACAUUUUAGAACAAACAAAAUAAACCAGCAACUCUGAGUCCUCUCGUCGAUUAAAAAAAAUAUGAUAAAUUCAGAUGGUUUUUUUUAAAACCAG